rnacentral:rRNA from 1 species
GGUGGUCAGGUAGAGAAUACCAAGGCGCUUGAGAGAACUCGGGUGAAGGAACUAGGCAAAAUGGUGCCGUAACUUCGGGAGAAGGCACGCUGAUAUGUAGGUGAAGUCCCUCGCGGAUGGAGCUGAAAUCAGUCGAAGAUACCAGCUGGCUGCAACUGUUUAUUAAAAACACAGCACUGUGCAAACACGAAAGUGGACGUAUACGGUGUGACGCCUGCCCGGU